rnacentral:ncRNA from 2 species
UCCGAAGUUUCCCUCAGGAGAGCUGCUGCAUUUAAAAAUUAUGUAAAAUAAUCUUAUCUGGUAAAGCGAAUGAUUAGAGGCCUUAGGGUCGAAACGACCUUAAACUAUUCUCAAGCUUUAAAUGGGUAAGAACCACACCUUUCUUUGUAUGCAAUUGUGGUUGUGAUAUAAUGUGCCCAGUGGGCUACUUUUGGUAAGCAGAACUGGCGCUGUGGGAUGAACCAAACGUAAUGUUACGGUCCCCUGCCAUACCAAAUUUGAAACAAUUCCGGUGAAUGGACACACUUAAAUCAUCAAAAUCCAUUACGAACUUCAAAUACAUUAUUGGGA